CACUGAUCCUCCAGCAUUUUUGUUUUGGUGGCGCAGGCUUCUUCCUUGGUACAUCUUCACAUCUUUUUUCAGUGCACUUCCAGUUGACACAAUGGCAAAACAAACAGGAUCAACAGUUUGCAUCUCAUUGAUUUUAUUCGUCACAGUCUUUGCUCAAGGGAUAGUUGGUUGGAUUUUCUACAACGACUGUCCAGGAAUUCCCUUCAUCCCUGUUUAUCUUUGUGGACCCUUCUUUGCCUUCUUUGCAUUGCGGAUGUACGGGUCAUGCAACCUGCUUUGUUGGUCAGUGACCACCACCUUCUUCUUUUGCUGGUACAUUGCUGGUAAUGCAGUGAUCUACAGCAAUUAUGAACCAGACUACAGCUACUGCAACAAGACACUCUACCUUUUUGCGUUUUGGAGCAACAAUCUGACAAACGUCUUAUUAUUAAUGCUUCUCUGUUGUU